rnacentral:guide_RNA from 1 species
AAACGCAAUCAAGAUAGAUCACAGAAAGAAGAUAGAAAUAUAUAUU